AUAAAUAAAUAAAUAAAUAAAUAAAUAAAUAAAUAAAUAGAAAGAGAGAAAGAAAGAAAGAAAGAAAGAAAGAAAGAAAGAAAGAAAGAAAGAAAGAAAGAAAGAAAGAAAGAGAAAAGUACAUGUAUUGAAGAAGAUUUGACUUCCAACCAAAAGUCUAUGUUGAUGGGUGGGACCUUUAGAAAGUGGAGCCCAGCUGAAGUUAAAUCAUCUUGUGUGCCCUUGAGGAUGUCGGGACCCCCUCCUGACAUUUGCUUCCAGGGUACAGUGAGUUGCAGUGACUAUUAUGACACUGAUUAUAACAGUGAAAAGGCAACAGCAAAGAGGGAAAAUUCACAUGGUGGUAUACAUACGGAGCGAAGAGACUGGCUUCGUUUUUGUCAAAGGAUAGUGAUUGCAGAGAGAAUUCAGAACCAGUGUGGAGUGAAGAAAAGCAGUUUGCAGAACUGUAUACAUUAUGAUACCACAUUCAUAAAUAAACAGAGCCUUUGGAACCUA